rnacentral:rRNA from 1 species
GAUGAACGCUAGCUACAGGCUUAACACAUGCAAGUCGCGGGGCAGCAUGAAUUUAGCUUGCUAAAUUUGAUGGCGACCGGCGCACGGGUGAGUAACGCGUAUCCAACCUUCCCCUGUCCACGGGAUAGCCCGUCGAAAGGCGGAUUAAUACCGUAUGAGGUCACACGAUGGCAUCAGACUGUGACGAAAGGUUUGGCGGACAGGGAUGGGGAUGCGUCCGAUUAGGUAGUCGGCGGGGUAACGGCCCACCGAGCCGACGAUCGGUAGGGGUUCUGAGAGGAAGGUCCCCCCACAUUGGAACUGAGACACGGUCCAGACUCCUACGGGAGGCAGCAGUGGGAAUCUUCCGCAAUGGGCGAAAGCCUGACGGAGCAACGCCGCGUGAGUGAUGACGGCCUGG